rnacentral:lncRNA from 1 species
UUCUUUACAGCAAAGACGCACAAACCGAGCAUUCCGUUUAGGGCGAUUGUAAGUGAAAAAGAAUCGUGGCAAAGAAACGUCAGCCGCUUUCUGACAAAAAAGCUUAACCUGCUUAGGAUGGUGGAGAAGCCGCG